ACACAAAUUAAUGGAAAAACAUUAAAACUUUUUAAUAAAAGGAUGAGGAUAUGUUCUGAUAAAAUCACGAAAUCGACGACAAAUACAAUUUUCGUGUAGUAUGACUGCCCAUCAAGAAGUUGCAAACCGGAAGAGGGAUACUUAUACCACGUACAUUGUACCCUUUGUGUGCUUUUUGUUCAAUUGUGUCGUGUACGAUUGAACAGAAUAAAUAAGAAUUAUACUAUAAAAAUAAAUAUAUUUUCUAUAUAUUUAAACAUUUAAUUCAGACAAUCCGUCCAACAGCAACUUGGUAUGUUAAAAGAAUAGUAUAAAGC
rnacentral:lncRNA from 1 species